CAGGGAGUGGAUUUAGUGUGGGACUGGUGAACGGCGACCUACCGAGCAACGGAACUUUUGAGAAGUAUCAAAAAUUACUUUUUGGUACACAUCAGCUGGGAUAAGUGAUGGAUGGGGAAAUUUUGUACUGCAGACAGGAAUUACACCGCAGCUGGUCUGCGCCUGAAUCCGUUCCAACCCUGUGACAUCAUCAUCAUCAUCAUCAUCAUCAAUCAUUUUCUGUGUCACACUGUGAGACUUAUAGGGGACUAAUGGGGGACAUUGGUGUGUUAGUCAAGUUCCCCAAAGUAGCAUUCUUAUUUAUGCAGGUUAGGUUCACAGUCUGUUACCAUGGUAACUGAUUCAAUGUUCAAAGUAAAUCCUUUUGAAACCGAAAACAUGAGUUUUCUAUCAUUUUAGGGUUAGCAAACUCAGAGUUGUUAGCUAAACCUGCUUUCUGGAGUGGGACCUUGGAGCAGUUGGUCUACUUGGGCCCCUGAAUGGGCUUCAUGUGCUGCCUUAUGCUUAGUGUAAUAAGAACACUAGCAAAAAACAAAACUAAAGAAAAGUUAAGGGUAAGGAGAGUGCAGUGGUCUUUGGCCGCCUUUGUUCUGUUUUCAUGGCUCCUAAAAAGCUUAUUCAACUUCAGUGUCAGAAUUGAACCUUUUUUUUUUAUUUGUGCAGACUAUCCUUCAGUUGUGAUGACAACCAAUCAUCAACCUGACCUGUUAAGCCAACUGAAUCAUGAAGCCUUUGAACUUAAAUGUUGAGAUCAACUCUGUCAAAGGCAGCAGUGAGUUCUAGUAGAGCAAAAACUCUCCGUGAAUCUUCUUUAAGUCACUCAUAACUUUAUUAUCAACUUGUUCUGUGCUAUGAUUGGUACCUGAUAAGAAAUACUGAGAGUUACAAGAUAUUUAUUCAGUUGUUCAUAAAUAAUUUUUAAGUUAUUUAGCUGAGAAAAGCUAGAUUAGAAAUAGCUUUAUGUUUAUUAAUUACCAAUAGAUCUGAUUUAUUUAUUUAUUUAGUUAUUUAUUUAUCUCCUAGUGACUUGAGGUAUACAAUUCAUUCCAGUGAUAAUCCCUGUUACUCUGAUCAAUGUUGUUGCUGUAUCUUCAGGUCACCUCAUUUUAUGAAUCAGCAGCAAAAUGUAAAACUUUUAUUCAAUAAGGUUUCAACUGCAGAAAAUGUUAUGAGAGGUGGGGGACACCCUGGACCUCUCACCAGUCUAUCACAGAGACACAGAAAACUAUCCACAUCUGCACCUGAUAUAGAAUCAUUAGUUUCCCAAACCCAAUGUAUGUUUUUAGACAGUGGGGAUGAUGGAGCACUCAGUGAGCACACAUGCAAACUCCACCAGCUAGCUGAAGGAUUCAAACCCAGGACCUUCUUCAUGUGAGACAACAAUGCUGACCACGGCACUACUGUGCUGUUAAAUGUUGUUGUUUUAACAAAUAAGGUUCAAUACGUUAAUUAUUGUAGACUGUAAUUACUAGUGGGCAAGGCUUUAUUACUUUUCAAUAGAUAGAGGUUAACUGUUUUCUCAUACUGGCAGUAGUAUAUAUAUGUGCUAUAUAAAUAAAACUGAAUUGAAUUGAAUAGUAAUGCAAGCUAAGCAGCAUAUGCAUGAGUAUCCUGGAUAUGUUUUUUCAUAUUGUUUAUGCACCCAGCUGUAUGCUCUGUGCACAUUUUCAUUUAUCAGACAUUAAUCAACAACCAGUGAACUGAGCACAUAUUAAAGUCUGUCUUGUCUCAGGUUAGAGGGCCUCACCACUGCAAUCUGAGCUCAUUGCUAACAUUUCCACACUGUGUGUAUGUGAGAAUUGUUUGCGAACAUUACAAGGAACUUGUGUCAUUUGUAUUUGUGACUUUCUAAGAAUCAGAUUGUGAAACGGCAUUCAUGCCAUUGGUUCAAACAGGGAGCAAGCUUGAAUGUGAUUGGUUGAAAACAGCUGGCUCAUCAUGGUAUUUACCACAUCCUCUUGGAACAGUUUGCUAAUACAAAACACCAGCAGUUUAUCUUGAUGUUUGUUAUUCUUGAUGUCUGUGAAAUGUGUUUUAUGCAGCUCAGCAUUUUGUCAGCAAAUAGCUCCAUAAACAGAUUUAAAUUAAUCUGAUGGUAAUUUUAGGCAUUAUGCUUUGGAUGGAUUGGAUUGCCUGUUUAUGGUGAACGGAAGAGAUCUGGACUGAAGUCCAAGUCAUCACCAGACAGAAGAAAAGACAAGUUCACAAGAACAAAGAGAAGAAGAAUGCAUAUAGAACAAUACUCAUACUCUUGAAGCAUUUUUGUUGCUCGUACUGAGCAGGACUGUGUUCUGCUUUCAGUGUGAUGUGGAAGAAUAAAUCUUUUGAGU